AUUGAACGCUGGCGGCAGGCUUAACACAUGCAAGUCGAGCGAGCGGCGGACGGGUGAGUAAUGUCUGGGAAACUGCCUGAUGGAGGGGGAUAACUACUGGAAACGGUAGCUAAUACCGCAUACCAUCAGAUGUGCCCAUAUGGGAUUAGUUAGUAGGUGCGGUAAUGGCUCACCUAGGCGACGACCCCUAGCUGGUCUGAGAGGAUGACCAGCCACACUGGGACUGAGACACGGUCCAGACUCCUACGGGAGGCAGCAGUGGGGAAUAGUGCACAAUGGGCGCAAUCCUGAUGCAGCCAUGCCGCAUGAAUGAAGAAGGCCUUCGGGUUGUAAAGCACUUUCAGCAGGGAUGCGUUACGCACAGAAGAAGCACCGGCUAACUCCGUGCCAGCAGCCGCGGUAAUUC
rnacentral:rRNA from 1 species